rnacentral:rRNA from 1 species
GGAAGUAAAAGCGUAACAAGGUCUCCGUUGGUGAACCAGCGGAGGGAUCAUUACUGAGUUUACGCUCUACAACCCUUUGUGAACAUACCUACAACUGUUGCUUCGGCGGGUAGGGUCUCCGCGACCCUCCCGGCCUCCCGCCUCCGGGCGGGUCGGCGCCCGCCGGAGGAUAACCAAACUCUGAUUUAACGACGUUUCUUCUGAGUGGUACAAGCAAAUAAUCAAAACUUUUAACAACGGAUCUCUUGGUUCUGGCAUCGAUGAAGAACGCAGCGAAAUGCGAUAAGUAAUGUGAAUUGCAGAAUUCAGUGAAUCAUCGAAUCUUUGAACGCACAUUGCGCCCGCCAGCAUUCUGGCGGGCAUGCCUGUUCGAGCGUCAUUUCAACCCUCAAGCUCUGCUUGGUGUUGGGGCCCUACAGCCGAUGUAGGCCCUCAAAGGUAGUGGCGGACCCUCCCGGAGCCUCCUUUGCGUAGUAACUUUACGUCUCGCACUGGGAUCCGGAGGGACUCUUGCCGUAAAACCCCCCAAUUUUCCAAAGGUUGACCUCGGAUCAGGUAGGAAUACCCGCUGAACUUAAGCAUAUCAAUAAGCGGAGGA